UAGGGAAUUUUGCGCAAUGGGGGAAACCCUGACGCAGCAACACCGCGUGAAUGAUUAAGCCCUUCGGGGUGUAAAGUUCUGUCAGUGGGGACGAAACUUGACGGUACCCACAAAGGAAGCACCGGCUAACUCCGUGCCAGCAGCCGCGGUAAUACGGAGGGUGCAAGCGUUGUCCGGAAUCAUUGGGCGUAAAGCGUUCGUAGGCGGUAUAUCAAGUCCGGUGUCAAAGCCCAAAGCUCAACUUUGGAUCCGCACUGGAUACUGGUAAACUAGAAUGUGGUAGAGGUAAAGGGAAUUCCUGGUGUAGCGGUGAAAUGCGUAGAUAUCGAGAAGAACACUCGUGGCGAAGGCGGGUUCCUGGACAUGUACUGACGCUGAGGUACGAAGGCCAGGGUAGCGAAAG
rnacentral:rRNA from 1 species